AUUGAACGCUGGCGGCAUGCCUUACACAUGCAAGUCGAACGGUAACAGGUCUUCGGAUGCUGACGAGUGGCGAACGGGUGCGUAAUACAUCGGAACGUGCCCGAUCGUGGGGGAUAACGAGGCGAAAGCUUUGCUAAUACCGCAUACGAUCUACGGAUGAAAGCGGGGGAUCUUCGGACCUCGCGCGGACGGAGCGGCCGAUGGCAGAUUAGGUAGUUGGUGGGAUAAAAGCUUACCAAGCCGACGAUCUGUAGCUGGUCUGAGAGGAUGAUCAGCCACACUGGGACUGAGACACGGCCCAGACUCCUACGGGAGGCAGCAGUGGGGAAUUUUGGACAAUAGGCGAAAGCCUGAUCCAGCCAUGCCGCGUGCAGGAUGAAGGCCUUCGGGUUGUAAACUGCUUUUGUACGGAACGAAAAGCCUCUUUCUAAUAAAGAGGGGUCAUGACGGUACCGUAAGAAUAAGCACCGGCUAACUACGUG
rnacentral:rRNA from 1 species